CAGCGCCUUCCCUCUUCUGUUUCCGCCGAGGACGAUCACCCGUGUCCGGCUCGAUGGGGAGAGGACAGAGCGAUGGAGAGUCCUGGGCGGGAGCAUCAACCGGCACCUCCGCGCCCUCUUCUCUCCCCAAAUCUCAGCUCGAGGAUCCAAGCUGGUGAAUUUUUUACUCUAUGACACAGAGGCGGCUCCUUCCUCGCACCCCAGACCCGCUGAACGUCUUUACAGACACAAGAGAGCGGAGAUGAGGGCGGAGCACAGAAAGGGAAGAAGAAGCGUGCUGGAAAAUACAUCGGAGCAGUGUCCAGCUAUUUAUUUCAGCAAGGCCAGGAAAAGGAGAGAGUUGGGAGGGGAAUCAGAUUUAUGAAAUUUCCCGGGCUGAGCAGCGAGUUCUGAAACCAGGGAAAGCAGACUGAGAAAUGGUUUUGGGGGAGAUGAAGGCGCGGGGACGCCUGCGGACGGUGACGCUCGCGGUGCAGACCCGACGUGCCAUCAGCUGUCACCCGCGGAGCAGCCGCGUCUGGUCUGCAGGACACGGAGCAGCCGCGGGGGGAAGAUUUUCCUCCAGACAAAACCCCAACAGCGGCGGCUUUUGCCGGGAAAAGAUUCCCCUUGAUCAGCAGCGCCCCAGGUGAAACAGGGGACGCAGCAUUUGCUGAGCACGGGGACCACGCGUCGUGCAGGGCGAGCGGCUCCGCAAACAGGGGCUCCAGGAGCAGCCCCCCCCUGCUCCCCAGAAGCGCUUUAAGCGCUUGGAGCGGAGCAGAGAGGCUGCAAAGCCGCAGCUCUGUGGGGAUCGGCACCCCCGGCGCUGCCGAACCCUCCCGGGGGGCACAUUCACCUUCCCCCCGCCCCGGGAAAGGGCUUUACCUUCACCCGCCAGCUCUGACGCGACAGCAAAAGUAAUUACAGCAAAGCGGCGCUGACAGCGCUAUCGAUCGCGGUGACAAAUGCGCAACGUGUUAUUGCUUUAAUUCCUUGCAGAGGAGCGCGGGCGAGCUGGAUCCACAACCAGCCGGGCCGGCCGCAUCCCGGCCCUGGGAGGAGCAAAACCAUCCGUCGGGAAGCUGUAAUAAACUCCUCCAGCUGGUUUCUGACCGAUUUAAACAGCACAAACCGACGGCGCGAGGGGGGUUUGCGAUCACGACCGAGGGCAGGCGCUGGACACCGUCCCUGCCAAGGGAGACGGAUGCGUUUUCUCGGGUCACCUUCGCUUUGAGAUGCUGCAGGUGUCAGAUGCGACAAACAAAAUCCUCCCCAGCCCUGUGUAUUCAAUCGGCGUCGCUUUGCUCCAUAAAUCAGAGCUGCCGAGUCUCAGCUUGCCGCUAAUGAGUUCGGCCCAACUCAUAUCGCCUCACCCCCCGACGGGCUCGCAGGCCCACUUAGGAAAGCUCCAGCGCAGCUGCAGCCGCUCAGACGCUCCCUGAAUCACCAGCGACGUCUCCUCGUGUCCCGGGAUGAGUCAAACCCCAGUUCCCGCAGCCGAUGUGACGGUGCAGCCGGUUUUCCCGGGAAGGGUGAACCCGCCCGCAGCGUUUCCCCCGCAUCUCCUCCCCAGCCCCGGCUGCUCCCAGGGACAAAGCGGGUGGAGAAGGGCACGAACCGUCCCGUCACCCCCGGGACGGCCCCGGCGCCGCUUCUGAGCAACGAAAACGCUUUUCCCUUCUCCCGGGAGGCGGCGCCGCCGUCACGGCCGUUCCCGCGUCCCCGCUCUGGAGGGGCCUGAGCCCCAGGGAAAGGAGCUGGUGCCGACCCCCCAGAAAAUAACACCCAGAACCCCGGUGACCCCAAAAUUGGACUUUCAGAAGCAUCCGAAUGAACCAGCCGGGUUUGUUGAAGGCGAGACCCGCUCGGACUGACCGUCCCCCACCGGCUCGGCCCCUCCAGAGGUGGGAAACACCAGAUGUGCCCAGUAACCAACUGGUGCUCAGCACCCGCUGAGCCGCCACUGAUCCUGCAAACACCCCCAGAUCCCACAGCUUUAUUUGUGCAAAACGGGGAGGAAGGGACAGGGGGACGACGGCGGCUCAGCCGGAUCCCGCGGCUCGUGGGGAAGCUCUGGGGUGGCACAGGGGCUGUGACAGCAGGACCGGAGCGUUAUUUCCCACGGCACACGUGCUGCCGCCAUCAAAAAGUGUCUUUUGUUACAGAAAUGGAAGCGCCGCGCUCGGCGUCUCAAAGCGUCUCACACCCGAGCCGGCGAACGGCACCAAAGCUGCCGGUUCUCCCUCAAAACGCAAACGGGAAACGCGGAUCCGGACACGGGCUGGCGCGGUUGGCGAUUCCUGCGCCUCGAGAGGCGUCGGAUGAGCCGCAGGAGAUUUCUGCUCCCGAUUUAGGCGCCGGAAAAUCCUCCUGCCAAACCUGGGGCUAAUCGGGCGCGAUCCUCGGGCUGUAAUCUCCUCAGGGCUCUGCCCGGGCCGCGCGGGUCCCGAGGCAGAGACACCGUUACCGCGCUGCACCCAACACCAACAACGACACUUUCCGCGGUAAAACACGGGCGGUUGUCCCAGGAACACCCUCCCGAGGGGUAAUGCAGGCAGAGGAAAGCAGGACAAGCACGGCAGCAGGAUUCUUUUCACUUGGGAAACCCCCUCGGACGCCGCAGCCAGAGCGGUGCAGCCGCUUCCCAGCGCCGAGGUGGAGGAAACUCAAUUCCUCUGUCCCGGCCUUAAAAGGAAGGGAAGUUUCGCUCUCGCUAAGUGACGCUUUUAUGUUUUGAAGCUCAGAGCCAAGAUCCAGCGACAAGAUCCCGUCCGAGAGCAGGACUCGGAGCCGCCCGCACACCCUGCCGGACUGUGGGCACACGGACCAGAAACGCUCCCUCGCCCCAGCGCGACGGGACGGCACAGAAACAACAGAACUGACGUGCCCCAAGAGACAAAAGCUUCGCCUUUCCCACCGGUUCCUCUUCUCCCUCCGAGGUGGAUCCCCCGGGAGGUUUUGGGGCGACAGGAGGUUUCCCGGAGCGCUCCAAAGCCUCCCCGGCUCGCGCUCGUUAUCGCUGCGCCCAUCAGUGACGCUUUGAACGAUAUUUCCCCAGCGAUCUGAACUCUCUACGUAUCAUUUUAUACCAGGCAUUUCCCAGGCUGCCCGGUCAGCUUGUUGUGCUCAACGCUCGCCCCACUAGGGGUAGAUAAUCGCAUUUUAGCUCCUCGGGGCUGCGAUGCCCACGCAAGGAUACCAAGAGGGCUCAAGAACACACCUUUUCCUGGCAAAGGGCGGCCUGCACCGCCGGGCUGGGAGAUAAUAGUGAUUAAGCACCGUGGCUCCUCUCUGCUCGGCUCUGCUUCCACAAACCUAAUCAUGUCAGAGGGAAAGAAAAGGAAAAUCUCCCCCAAGCACGGCUAAACGUAUUAAACUGAGACACGGUGCCACAGCCGCGAGGCAAAUAAAAUACACACGGGCAUCUGUGCUGUCAUUAAAAAAGCCUCUGUGAUA